CAGUCGCCGCGGUAACACGUAGGUCGCAAGCGUUGUCCGGAAUUAUUGGGCGUAAAGGGCUCGCAGGCGGUUUCUUAAGUCUGAUGUGAAAGCCCCCGGCUCAACCGGGGAGGGUCAUUGGAAACUGGGAAACUUGAGUGCAGAAGAGGAGAGUGGAAUUCCACGUGUAGCGGUGAAAUGCGUAGAGAUGUGGAGGAACACCAGUGGCGAAGGCGACUCUCUGGUCUGUAACUGGCGCUGAGGAGCGAAAGCGUGGGGAGCGAACAGGAUUAGAUACCCGCGUAGUCCCUGUCUCUUAUAC
rnacentral:rRNA from 1 species